GAUCCUGGCUCAGGAUGAACGCUAGCUACAGGCUUAACACAUGCAAGUCGAGGGGCAGCAUUAACUUAGCUUGCUAAGUUUGAUGGCGACCGGCGCACGGGUGAGUAACACGUAUCCAACCUGCCGAUGUCUCGGGGAUAGCCUUUCGAAAGAAAGAUUAAUACCCGAUGGCAUAGUUCUUCCGCAUGGUAGAACUAUUAAAGAAUUUCGGUCAUCGAUGGGGAUGCGUUCCAUUAGGUUGUUGGG
rnacentral:rRNA from 1 species